rnacentral:rRNA from 1 species
GACAGAGGGUGCAAACGUUGUUCGGAAUUACUGGGCGUAAAGCGUGUGUAGGCGGUUUGCUAAGUCGGGUGUGAAAGCCCCGGGCUCAACCCGGGAAGUGCACUCGAAACUGGCAGGCUAGAGUACUGGAGAGGUUGGUGGAAUUCUCGGUGUAGAGGUGAAAUUCGUAGAUAUCGAGAGGAACACCGGUGGCGAAGGCGGCCAACUGGACAGAUACUGACGCUCAUGCACGAAAGCGUGGGGAGCAAACAGG